rnacentral:rRNA from 1 species
GACGGAGGAUGCAAGCGUUAUCCGGGAUUAUUGGGCGUAAAGCGUCCGCAGGUGGACAUACAAGUCUGCUGUCAAAGUGCAGAGCUUAACUCUGUAAAGGCGGUGGAAACUGUAGGUCUUGAGUAUGGUAGGGGUAGAGGGAAUUCCCGGUGUAGCGGUGAAAUGCGUAGAUAUCGGGAAGAACACCAGUGGCGAAAGCGCUCUACUGGGCCAUAACUGACACUGAGGGACGAAAGCUAGGGGAGCGAAAGGG